AUCGAUGAAGAACGCAGCGAAACGCGAUAUUUCUUGUGAAUUGCAGAAGUGAAUCAUCAGUUUUUGAACGCACAUUGCACUUUGGGGUAUCCCCCAAAGUAUACUUGUUUGAGCGUAGUUU
rnacentral:rRNA from 1 species